GUCAAAGGGACCAUAACGUCUGCUCCAUAAAAUUAACUUCAUUCGAAUCGGACCAUGUCCGAUGCGAGCGCGGACGAUUAUGACGGGUUUCAGGCCCAGUUCACAAACAUAAUGGAAACAAUUUUACAGACUGCUGUCAGGGAAGCGACAAAACUUUAUGAUGGCACUUUGCAGCGCUUGAAAGCGGAAUUGGUGCAGCUGAGACAACAGAAUGUCAUCACGAAGACAGGCGAUUCAUCCAGCCAGAACACAAAGAGAUUAUCUGAAGCUGGGAGGACUGGAAAUGUCUCUAAACAUCGUGAUAUUGGCGUGCAGUGUGAAAAGCCCACAUUUGUGGACCGUGGAUGCAGCCCCCUUCAGUUUAUAGGACAACGUCUUAAUGUGGGAGACAUUACCAGUGAUAAACUCAUAGAUCUGUGUGCCAGUGAGGAUGGAAACAGACAGCUUGCAUUGCUACUCGUCAAACAAGAGCCUCAAGAGACUGAAUGCAACAGCUAUGCACCAGGAUACUUUUUACUAAAGCAAGAGGGUGCUGAACCAAUACUGGUGCGCAGAGAGCCAAAUAAGGACACCAUGGAAAGGGGUACAAGAGUCAUUCACAUAUUCAACUGAUCUUCUAUUUAAAUAUAAUUAUCAUAUAAGAGGCAAUCCUUUUCAAAUAAUAACAAAAAUAUGCACACAUAUUUAUACAAUUUUUUAAAUUGACAAGAAAUAUAUAUGAGCUGUAUUUCACAAUUAGGACCAAUGUCAACACUGAAAAAACUAGUGCAGAUGAAAUUACCCCAUCUUGUAAUGUACACCACUCAGAUACUCAACUAAUCUAUCUGUUGAGGACUCAAGUUGCAAAUUUGAAACUUUUGUCCUCCUUAUGUUCUUUUUCUGCAUCUUCACCUCUCUAUUCACAGUUGUGAUACCGCCAGCAUUGCAAACCAUAACUAGGCACCAUAGCAACCAAGGAGGAAAGUCACCACGACCAGUGACUACUUCCUCUUGUAGUCGCAGAGUGGAUUCCUGUGGUCAAAAACCCAAUCAGACUAUACAACCCAUCCAAGGUACAUCUAAAAGGACACUGGAAAACACUGAAAGCUUGUCUUCCCAAAACAAAAGACAGAAUGCCAGUGCACCAGCACAGACAUCCACUUCUUCAGUACUUCCCAAUUCGACCCAGACUCCUGCUUCCACUGUUAACUUGUCUGUGCCAAUGAUUGAGCUGUCUGGCACUCCAUCAAUACCUCAAACCAAACCAACAGCUUCAUUAGUUCACCGUCGACCAAACCCAAAGCCAAACCCUCAAACAUCAAACCAGACAGUAG
ensembl:lncRNA